CUACCCCUGCUUGUGAUCGCGUAUACAUUUCAUUUUUAGUCUUUUGAGCCGAUUCUACUGCGUCAUAGUGUACAUCUACGUCUCCCUUCCCGCAGUCUCUACUACUGUCUGAGUCUGUGUCUUCGUCAGAGUCAAUCCACCUCCCUACUGCUUUUCCCGUGAGUAUCACCUGUCCUCUAUGUGCAUUUCCCUUUUCCUGCUUAUUUUUGUCUUUCUCACUGCCUGACCUUUUCUUCCUGGUUCCUUUAACCUCACCUUCUUCGUUCAGUUUCUUACUCCUCUCCUGAUACCUUCCGUACUCUCUCUCUGCCCUUGCCUUAAACGGUUUCACUUCCUCCUCAGUGUCUGUUUCGCUCUCUGACUCUGCCUUCCUACUCAACUUCCUCUUAUCUUGCUUCCCUGUGAACUGAGGUACAGGCUCGCUGUUCUCUGUGUCUAGGCUCAAUGUUCCUUGUUCUAUGCGCAGCACUGGAUAUAGUGGUGCGGGCGGUGCGGUAGGCGACACCGGGUCGUCUUCAUAUGCUGGGGGUUCUAUCUCUCCUUCCUUCCUCUCCUCCUUUUUCUCCUUGUUCAAAUGCUCUACUCCCUGACACCACACUGCUAACUUACACCAUUCUUUUCCGUCAUUUUCCCAUGCCUUUUCCGCAUCUUUAUAUCUCCCUCUUUUGACCAAAUUUGCUGUUUCCCUCGUCCCUAACCCUAUCUUGAUUCUUGGCACAAUCCUUCUCUUUAUUCCACAAAAUAACAUGUAAUGGGUCUCCUCUCAUCCAUCCUUAGUCUUGCCUCACUCACCACUUGUCGCAAUUUCUCUUCUAUUUUUCCCUUUUCUUUCUGAGUUGGGUCCAUCCUGCCUACAACUGUCAUUACAUUUGCCACCUGUAUUCCCAAUUUCUUCCAUCCCCCGGAACCUGGACGCCACCCAUUAUCGUCCAAUUCUCUCUCAAACUCCCCGUCCAUUCUAAACUAUUCGACCGUACUUCACGCUAAAUAUUUCAAGGUGCCCCUAAGUCCUCGGGCCUCUAACCCGACUGGUUGCCGAGACUCUAACUUGCAACCUCCACCGUCCCCGUCGGGAAGUGGUCUGGGGUAGUCAACCCCAGAACAAUUAAUGGGCCUCUAACCCGACUUACAGUGAGACUCUAACUCACACACCGUUACUCUGACCUCCUGAAUUUAAACCAGUGUCCCAAUACGAUCUCCACAGGUUCACAAUUUGGUUCACAGCCAAUACGCAGAUUUAGAUAUAACAGGCUCUGCUUACCUUUCCGAUGCGCCGGCGCUGGAACCUGUGAAACCUGUGUAGGUUAACUGGACCAGAAUGAAUUCCUUCUCAGCAACCUCUACAGAACUACAGAACGCAAACUUAUAAUUGGAUGCCAUUACCGUAUAGUUAAGAGACUUUCAAAUGUUACUAACUAGCCAGCUAACAACGUUUAUAAUUUCCAAAUCGACAAAUCCUCAAAUCCCAUCAGUCGUUAAUAUUUGCGUCUUCGUCAUUCAUUCUAUUUCAGUGGACAAAUGACACUUUCGUCCGCACAAUUGUAUGUUAUCACCACGGUGACUGGAUGUUGCGCUCACUGCACUUGGCGCUCAAAGAACCCUCUCACCGAAGUUUUCUCGCGGUAAAGUCCGUUAUCAUCGCUAGCCGCAACGAAAUGGAAACGCUGUCAGGUAAGCUAUUUUCUUUUAAAUGUUUUCAUUAAAUUAAUCAGCCAGAUUACAUCGAAUUUACAUUGCAUGCUGUGGUGUCAUAUUAGGGCAAAAAUGGCGACCAAAAGAGGGUACAAGGCUUUUCUAAAUGAAGAUCAACCUGUUCCUAAAACUCGGCUUAGUCAGAAGUCAAACAGCCAGAGAAGAUACAAAACACACCUGGAGACUGACAGCAGAGUUCCAAGAAAAACCUUAUACAGAAAACCUUAUACAGACACGUUAGGAAUAAUGAAGUCCAGGUAAGCCUAGCAAUUUUAUUGUUAUAAAAAAACU
ensembl:lncRNA